rnacentral:lncRNA from 1 species
GUUGGGUGUGGGGUGUGGGGUGUGGGGCUGCCCCAUAGGGGGAACAGUCGGAGCGGUGCGGCGGUUCGGGGUCACGUUGGGGGUUGCUGAACCCUACAGGGAGAAGACUCCGAACAGCUGUAGGACCACCGCCACCACACAUAGGCCGCUCCAGGACGGCCAGCAGCGCCCUGCAGCCCUCCUCCCCUUUGGCCGCCAUCAGCGCCCGCAGCCGCCGCACCCAACGGCGCCCCCCCGGGGGUCCCAACGCCGCCUCCUCGGUGGGUCCCAACGCCCCCCACCCCCGCAGCCCCUCCAGCAGCCCCCAACCCGGCGCCCGCAGCAGCCGCUCCUCCAACGCGCGGCCCUCAGCCGCCACCACCGCCCACGCCGACGUCAUGGCUGCCUGGGGGGAGAGCGGGGGGUCAGCCCCAUAGCGGACCCACACACCCACUGUUGUGGGGCUCAGCCCCAUAGGGGACCCCACACACCCACUGCCGUGGGGCUCAGCCCCAUAGCGGACCCCACAGACCCACUGCCGUGGGGCUCAGCCCCAUAGGGGACCCCACAGACCCAUUGUUGUGAGGCUAAGCCCUAUAGGGGAUCACACAGACCCAUUGCCGUGGGGCUCAGCCCCAUAGCGGACCCCACACACACACUGCCGUGGGGCUCAGCCCCAUAGCGGACCCCACAGACCCAUUGUUGUGAGGCUCAGCCCUAUAGGGGAUCACACAGACCCACUGCUGUGGGGCUCAGCCCCAUAGCGGACCCCACAGACCCAUUGUUGUGGGGCUCAGCCCUAUAGGAGACGCUGGAGAGUCCCCAUUGGAGGGCUUCGGCCCUAUAUGAGGCUGUAGGGGUGCCAUGGGUGGGGCUCAGCCCUAUAGGGGACCCCACAGACCCAUUGUUGUGGGGCUCAGCCCCAUAGGGGACCCCACAGACCCACUGCUGUGGGGCUCAGCCCCAUAGGGGACCCCACACACCCACUGCCGUGGGGCUCAGCCCUAUAGGAGACACUGGAGAGUCCCCACUGGAGGGCUUCGGCCCUAUAUGAGGCUGUAGGGGUGCCAUGGGUGGGGCUCAGCCCUAUAGGGGACCCCACAGACCCAUUGUUGUGGGGCUCAGCCCCAUAGGGGACCCCACAGACCCACUGCUGUGGGGCUCAGCCCCAUAGCGGACCCCACAGACCCACUGCCGUGGGGCUCAGCCCCAU